rnacentral:rRNA from 1 species
UACAGAGGUCCCAAGCGUUUGUCCGGAAUUACUGGGCGUAAAGCGCGUGUAGGCGGAUGAGCAAGUCUGCCUGUGAAAGCUCCUGGCUUAACCGGGAGUGGUCGGUGGAAACUGCUCGUCUGGAGGACGGUAGAGGUAGGUAGAAUUCCCGGUGUAGUGGUGAAAUGCGUAGAGAUCGGGAGGAAUACCUGUGGCGAAGGCGGCCUACUGGGCCGGACCUGACGCUGAGACGCGAAGGCGUGGGGAGCGAACGGG